CCUACGGGAGGCAGCAGUGGGGGAUAUUGCACAAUGGGGGAAACCCUGAUGCAGCGAUGCCGCGUGAAUGAAGACGGCCUUCGGGUUGUAAAGUUCUGUCGCAGGGGACGAAAAUGACGGUACCCUGCAAGAAAGCUCCGGCUAACUACGGGCCAGCCGCCUCGGUAAUACGUAGGGAGCAAGCGUUGUCCGGAAUUACUGGGUGUAAAGGGAGCGUAGGCGGGAGGAUAAGUUGAAUGUGAAAUCUAUGGGCUCAACGUGGGAACUGCCUUUGAAACUGGCAAACUGGAGUGUGUGAGAGGAUAGUGGAAUUCCAGGUGUAGGCGUGACAUCCGUAGAUAUCUGGAGGAACAUCAGUGGCGAAGGCGACUAUCUGGCACAUAACUGACGCUGAGGAGCGAAAGCGUGGGUAGCAAACAGGAUUAGAUACCCCUGUAGUC
rnacentral:rRNA from 1 species